GUUUCACGAUCCGUGAAUGGUGCACAUGGUGCCAGAGGGUAGACCCCAAAACACUGACAAUCCGUGCAGAUGGUGAAUUGGUUGACGGAUGGUGGAAGUAGUUUCACAAUCUGUGAAUGGUGCACAUGGUGCCAGAGGGUAGACCCCAAAACACUGACGAUCCGUGCGGAUGGUGCGCGUGGUGAAUUGGUUGACAGAUGGUGGAAGUGGUUUCAC